AAAGACUGCCUUCAGAGCGGAAUUUUCCUUCUCUUCCAACUGCAAACGGCUGUCGGACGUCUGCAGGCGGAAUGUCGCGCCUCUCCAGCCCAACUUCAGCAGCUGUGGUUUCACCUAUUAGCCCCGAUGUGUUUCCCAAGGAGUGCGGGAGUUGCACAUCAGACAAAAGGCUCCUUGGGGGGUUUACACUACUGACCUGUACUUUUUAGUUUCAUAGGCACUUCAUUAAAUCAAUUACCCAAUGUGCACAUCAUCAUUUGAGUAUUUGUAAAUGACAAAUUCUUUUUUCUACUUUCAAAUGUUGAGCAUGUUCUGCAUAGACACGAUGGAGUCCAUGCUGGUGUAUUGCAGGUUUGAAAACUUCUAUUAUUACACAUAAUCAAACUCCAUUAAUUAAGUAGAAAAUUUCACUUUUGACAUUUUUUAAGAAAGUUAUAGUAGUAUUUGUUCUUCUGACGGCAAGACUGAAUUUUAAACCCAUCAGAGUUUUUUAAAUUUUGUCUCAUACAUCUAAGCAUAACCAAAAUAUUAAGAUGGCGAUAAUUAUCAUGUAAAUUAAAUGUAUUUUCAGUUACAAAAAAAA